rnacentral:tRNA from 1 species
GCGGAAAUGGCGGAAUUGGUAGACGCACCAGAUUUAGGUUCUGGCGCCGUAAGGUGUGAGAGUUCAAGUCUCUCCUUCCGCACCA